UACGUAGGGUGCAAGCGUUGUCCGGAAUUAUUGGGCGUAAAGAGCUCGUAGGCGGUUUGUCGCGUCUGCUGUGAAAUCCCGAGGCUCAACCUCGGGCCUGCAGUGGGUACGGGCAGACUAGAGUGCGGUAGGGGAGAUUGGAAUUCCUGGUGUAGCGGUGGAAUGCGCAGAUAUCAGGAGGAACACCGAUGGCGAAGGCAGAUCUCUGGGCCGUAACUGACGCUGAGGAGCGAAAGUGUGGGGGAGCGAAACAGG
rnacentral:rRNA from 1 species